UACGUAGGGGCCGAGCGUUGUCCGGAGUUAUUGGGCGUAAAGCGCGCGCAGGCGGCUUGGCGCGCCCGACGUGAAAGCCCCCGGCUUAACCGGGGAGAGUCGUCGGGGACGGCCGGGCUUGAGGGCGGGAGAGGGUGGUGGAAUUCCCGGUGUAGUGGUGAAAUGCGUAGAGAUCGGGAGGAACACCUGUGGCGAAGGCGGCCACCUGGGCCGACCCUGACGCUGAGGCGCGAAGGCGUGGGGAGCGAACGGG
rnacentral:rRNA from 1 species